AUCGCUUCUCGGCCUUUUGGCUAAGAUCAAGUGUAGUAUCAGAAGUAAGGUUUUUAAUUGUGAUGGAUUUCCAAAAAUGUCACAAAGGUUAUAAAUGUUUCUCAAGAGUAAUUUAAAAAAUUCUGAAGUGUCCACAUUAGAAAGGGAAAAUCUUGCCCUUAACCUUGCCUUUCCUCUCUUGU